rnacentral:rRNA from 1 species
UUGAUUACGUCCCUGCCCUUUGUACACACCGCCCGUCGCUGUCCGGGACUGAGCUGUUUCGAGAAGCGUGAGGACUUUCGUUGCGGGGCUUCGGCUCUUCUUCGAGAGAAAUCACCCUAAUCGCAAUGGCUUGAACCGGGCAAAAGUCGUAACAAGGUACCUGUAGGUGAACCUGCAGGUGGAUCAUCGCCGAYUCCUAUCGACGUUUGGUCUAGUGCUUGCUGACAGCGAAGAGGGAGCGACGCAGUCGAGCCCGUUCGGUGAGCGACCCAAUCUUCCAGUAGCGUGCGAGUGGGUGGGUAUAGCCGUACGAGGGGAGGUACGGAGGGAAUCGGUCUUCGGAUCGAGACCCAAUUAUACCGGGCUGCUAUGCGUUCCUGACGUAUUAGCUUAAAGGUCUGCUUAAUGGCCGCGCUACCGCGCUUUGCUGACCUGUUAUUGGUCUUAAUGAUCGCGAGCUCCCGGUCGGGGGCAUAUCGCGGCGGCAGAAGCGAUUUUCCAUUAUCGAACUUUUCAAUUUUGCGAAAUUAAAUAUUAGCAUUGGUGUUGGAUCGGUUGAUUCGUAGAUCGAUGAAGAACGCAGCUAGCUGCGUUAUUUACCACGAAUUGCAUACACUUUGAGUGGUGAAAUUUCGAACGCAUAGCGUCACAGAGUYUUCUCUGUGGCACGUCUGGGUCAGGGUUGGUUGUUCAACUAACAGGUGCAUUUCUGAUUCGUCGAGCCGCUGCUUCCUUAGCGUUGUACCGGUUCUAGUAUCGAGUGAGUGAGAGCCGGUCUCGGUUCUUGCUCUAAUGGAGUUCUGCCGUGCUGGUGCCGAAUGCUUCUUGGUGCCACCGGUGGAAGUACUCUAUUGCUAAUUACAACCUGACCUCAGUCGUGAUUACCCGCCGAACUUAAGCAUAUCAUUCAGCGGAGGAAAAGAAACUAACUAGGAUUCCCUUAGUAACGGCGAGUGAAA